AAUAGAUACCCCGGUAGUCCACGCCGUAAACGAUGGAUGCUAGCUAUUGGGGGGAAUCGACCCCCUCCGAAGCGAAGCUAACGCGUUAAGCAUCCCGCCUGAGUAGUACGAGCGCAAGCUUAAAACUCAAAGGAAUUGACGGGGACCCGCACAAGCGGUGGAGCGUGUGGUUUAAUUCGAUGGUAAACGAAGAACCCUACCAGGUCUUGACAUCCCUCUGACCGGUCCGUAACGGGACCUUCCCUUCGGGGCAGAGGAGACAGGUGGUGCAUGGUUGUCGUCAGCUCGUGUCGUGAGAUGUUGGGUUAAGUCCCGCAACGAGCGCAACCCUUAUCCUUAGUAGCCAGCGGCCAGGCCGGGCACUCUAGGGAGACUGUCAGGGGUAACUUGGAGGAAGGCGGGGAUGACGUCAAAUCAUCAUGCCCCUUAUGAUCUGGGCUACACACGUGCUACAAUGGUGACUACAAAGGGAAGCAACCCUGUGAAGGUGAGCAAAUCCCAAAAAAGUCAUCCCAGUUCGGAUUGUAGUCUGCAACUCGACUACA
rnacentral:rRNA from 1 species